ensembl:lncRNA
GUCCGGGUCAAGUCCCGGUCCGGUUCCGCUCCGGGUGCGGAGGGUGGCUCGGCCUUCCCUGAGGAAGCGGCUGACAGGCUUUCCGGAGCUAAUGAGAGACCUCUGACUAGGGCGAGUUUCGGCACGCACCACCUAGCAGCCGCCCCGCUGCCAUGCCUUCGUAACCUGGAAGCCGAAUUUCCGAAAUCGCCUUCACUCAGCAGUGAGGGCUUUGCCUCUAAGAAAAAAAUAAGGUGGACAUGGAGGAAACUGGGGAAGAGGGAAGAUGCUGAAGGUUUCUUUGUAACCCCACCAAGAAAAGGAAGAAAUUAAAAAGUGCUACCUGUGAUUAUAAACAGAUGCAUGAUGAGUCAAGAAAGUCAAGGAAAAUCUACUGCCAUUUUACUUGAGCAAUGUGAGAAAAUCUUGGACUAUUGUACUCAUAAAUAUUGUUUAUAUUCACUAUAUUUAUUACUCCUAUUUGCUAACCAUUUGAAAUUUUCAGAUAUUCAUGCUAAAGAAGUCAGAAUGGACUUUUCACAGUGAUUUAUUACCUUAUUCUUCCUCUGGUUGUUUCUUUUAAAAUAACAAGGUGUAUGUUUAACCUUUAAGAGUUUGCUACAGUAAAAGGCAUGUUGCCAUUAAUUCCCCCUCACAGUACUUUGCAUCGCUCGGAAUACGUUUGUCCCAUCAUCCUUGCAACUUCCUGAAGCAGUGCUGGACGUUCUCUUUGGUGUCUUUAUGAGGUGGGAUCAAAAAUACAGUAAAUGCUGCUGCCAAGCGCCAUCCAACAGGAAGGGAGGCCCAUAAACACAUCAUGAGUACACAUUCAUAAGGUUCUAUUAUCAGACGUCAUGGUAUAGAGUGCCUGCUGCUUGGAAGCCCUUGCUUUGGAAGAUGCAGCUGCUCUGUGCUUUCCUGGCUGUGCUCCCUCCAGGUGCCAGGGUCAGGGCUGACUGUCCUGGAAGAUGUAGCUGUGAGUCCCCACAGUCGGUGCAAUGCUACAGAGUCACCAAGGUGCCAUCGGGUAUCCCUGCCACCACCACGAGGCUCUACAUCAGCCUCAGCAAGAUCCAGCACCUCCAGCUAACUGGGCCCUUCUCUACUCUGGUCCUGUGGUUUGGUUUUGUGAGGGAGGGUGUGGGCAAGCGAUUUAAAUAAUCAUAACUCUCAAGAGCUGUUCGCAGAGGGCAGCCGUGCCACCUGCUUGCUGUGUGCUACUGAGAUGGUGUAUGCCCCUGAGUUUCUCUUUAGGGAAGCACCUCCAUGUCAGGGUCUACAGUUAAUGAUUUAAAAUCUCAACAGUUUUUAAAACUGUUGUUGCAAAGUAAAAGUAAGAAAGAUCUCUUCCUUAACAACAAAAACAAAAAAGCCCACAUGGCCAUUUUAUGUCCCCAGUAUUAAGUUCUUUCAAGGGAAAAAAGCUUUAUUUUAUGCCAUAAUGGCAGAUGAUAAAGCAUUGUAAGACCAUCAAGAUGAACCUACUGUUCUCACAGAAACGCACAGGCUAGCCAGGUACUGCUGUCUCUGUGGAAACCGACAGAGGAAAUGCGUGGGUUUUUUCUGUUGUGCCAGAUUACUGGCAGUUCUCACUUUGUGUGCUUUUAAUUCUGACUAUUUUUAUGCUCACCGAUCCUGAGGACUCUGGAAAGCGUUCGGUAGAUUUUUCUGAGUUUUACAGCAUCAAGAAACUUACACCUGAUCUUUGCUGUUUUGAAAGGUGUUUGGGACUAAGGUUCUCAGCCUGAUUCCUCACUAACUACAGAGAUGUGACCAUCUCAGACAAGCUGUUAAAAAACGUUUCUGGGCCGCAUUUACUCUGAUGUGAGAAGACUGCACUGGAUAAGGUGACUGCAGGGCUCUCCUCACAGAAGGUUCAGUGGCUCUCAUUUUGCCUUCCUGUUGCCUGUUUCUCCCUCACAGAUCCAGGUCCAACCUUUCCCCUUGUUUUAGAUUCGACCGACCGGCUCCCCACUAGCAUUCUUCACAUUGAUGUGUGAGAAGGAUCUCCAAACAACGGGUUCCAAACUGAAUUCAGUCUCCCCCCUCACUUGUGGUUUGGGGGCCUGGGUUCUUUCACUUAGCAUACUCAGUGUUUGGCCUGGUCAUACAGGGUCCAAACUUUCUUUUAAAGGCGGAAUGUCCUUAUCACUGUGUUUCCCUGAAGAUAAGGCCUAUCUAGAGAUCAAACAUGCCAGCCCCACUCCACCUGUCCUUGCCUUCCUUGCCAUGACAGAGGAGCCACAGAGCAAGAGAACACUGGCCGUCACCAUGGAACAACCAGCUGUUGAUUUCAGCGGGAGUUUAUUUUCUGAGUAGGUCUUAUUUUCAAGAAAACAUGCAUACCACAUGUGUGUUCAUGCAUCAGUUUAUGGACGUUUGGGUUGUUUCUUCUUUUUGGCUAUUAUGAAUGACAUGGUUAUGGAUAUUCAUGUUUCAAAUACAACGUUUUUGUUGUUGUUGUUUUUGGUGUUUUGAGACAGUCUCAUUUUGUUGUGCAGGCUGGCCUUGAACUUGCAGC